CCUACGGGAGGCUGCAGUGGGGAAUAUUGGGCAAUGGGCGCAAGCCUGACCCAGCAACGCCGCGUGCAGGAAGAAGGCUUUCGGGUUGUAAACUUCUUUUGUCAGGGAAGAGUAGAAGACGGUACCUGACGAAUAAGCCACGGCUAACUACGUGCCAGCAGCCGCGGUAAUACGUAGGGGGCAAGCGUUGUCCGGAUUUACUGGGUGUAAAGGGCGUGUAGCCGGGUUGACAAGUCAGAUGUGAAAUCCUGCGGCUUAACCGCAGAACUGCAUUUGAAACUGUUGAUCUUGCGUCCGGGAGAGGCAGACGGAAUUCCGAGUGUAGCGGGGAAAUGCGUAGAUAUGAGGAGGAACACCAGUGGCGAGGGCGGUCUGCUGCAGAGCAACUGACGGUGAGGCGCGAAAGCGCGGGGAGCAAACAGGAUUAGAUACCCGAGUAGUC
rnacentral:rRNA from 1 species